CCUACGGGAGGCAGCAGUGAGUGAAUAUUGGUCAAUGGGCGCGAGCCUGAACCAGCCAAGUCGCGUGAGGGAAGACGGCCUUAUGGGUUGUAAACCUCUUUCAGAUGAGAGUAAAGGGUGUUACGAGUAGCACAUUGCAAGUAUCAUCAGAAGAAGCAUCGGCUAAUUCCGUGCCAGCAGCCGCGGUAAU
rnacentral:rRNA from 1 species